CAGCCGCCACGGUAAUACGUAGGGUGCGAGCGUUAAUCGGCAUUACUGGGCGUAAAGCGUGCGCAGGCGGUUUGUUAAGACAGAUGUGAAAUCCCCGGGCUCAACCUGGGAACUGCAUUUGUGACUGGCAAGCUAGAGUAUGGCAGAGGGGGGUGGAAUUCCGCGUGUAGCAGUGAAAUGCGUAGAUAUGCGGAGGAACACCGAUGGCGAAAGCAGCCCCCUGGGCCAAUACUGACGCUCAUGCACGAAAGCGUGGGGGGCAAACAGGAUUAGAUACCCGCGUAGUCCCUGUCUCUUAUAC
rnacentral:rRNA from 1 species